GGUAUUGUGGCUCAGCGAUAGAGCACUUGUCUUAUAAGUGUGAGGAACUGGGUUUGAUUCUCAGCACUGCAU
rnacentral:tRNA from 1 species